AUCCAGCUGAUCAGUCCCAAAUAGGAUGAAACGCGUGUUCUGUAU
rnacentral:hammerhead_ribozyme from 1 species